ACGGUCGAGUUGGCCGUCGGGAUUGGAACCCCGGAUAGAGACCGCGACAAACACACGCCGCGAGCGUGUUUUUU
rnacentral:sRNA from 2 species